CCCAGAGAGUGUUUGAGACGGUCUCUUUUCCCUUUGUCCUUCAUUUUUAAAGGACUAGUUCCUUACACGUCCAUACUUAAUAGUAACCAAUAGCGAACUGUGGGUGUUUCUUCCCUACAGACUAUCAUCUAGAUUUUGGUCAGUAAAUGGCGCAAUUACAUCACCAAAAAUUCUUGUCAGGGGGUCCAUUUACCUUUUUGUAUAAUGGGUUAACUGAAUUUCGUGAUGC